ACAAAUACUCGGUCUACCAAUAGGCAAAAUUCAAGCACCAACCUUUUGGCGCCUACUUCUUGUCUCGUGAUCAGGCCUAGAUCGUCCAACUUUAGACGCCAUUGCCGUCGUACACAAUACCUAUAUCAUGUCGAAACUGAGAACGCCCGCGGAAACAAAGAAAGAAAAAUCAAAAUCAUUGCAUGCCAGUUGAAAUGUCGAAAUGCUUGGUAAAAAACGACAGAAGAUAUAACCAACAAAAUGGAAUCUUAAUUUCAAGUCAAAAACAUAGUUCUAGAAAUUCAUUACUCAACAAAUUUAUAAAUUAGCCCUUUUAGCACCAGAAGUUCUCGAAUGCUGUGAUUUUUACAAGUAUUUCUCGAAUAAAUUAGAAUAACCAUCUUCUUUACAGGCGAAGCAGUAACCGAACCCGAAGAUGGAAAUGGAACAAACCGAAACUUAUAUCGGUAACUGAUCUAUGAGUCCAGAAAGUGAUGGAGAAAUAAACAGUUGUUUGGAAUACGCUGAUAGAUCCAUGGAAAUGAUCGAUGAGUUUUCCUCGAAGAAUCCCAAGUGGAGGAGAAGGAAAUGAAGACAGAGAAAGGCGCAGCUUACCAGAAGCGGCGCCGCGCCGAUGUUCCUUCGCCUAUUGAAACCCUAACAAUGGACACAGAAGUAGGGAGGACCUCUACCUUUGGGCUGGGCUUUUCUGCAGGACUAUGCUACUGUCAUGCAGUUCAACAGUCCUAAUACCAACAAUUCUCUGCUGGGUUUUAUUUCGAUUAAGUUCGCAGGAAGAAGAAGAAAAUACCAUAGAUACAAAAUAUUAUAUCUAU
rnacentral:lncRNA from 1 species